CACCAAUAAGAAGAGACUUGCUUGGGCCAAGAAACACAAGCAAUGGACAUUAGACCGGUGGAAAUCUGUCCUUUGGUCUGAUGAGUCCAAAUUUGAGAUUUUUUUUCUCCAACAGAAAUCAGGGUCAAACAAGGAGAGAUUGGGUUUGUUUGGCUUAAAUCUGAUUCUCUCCAAAAAUCUUCUGUAUACAAGAAUGUAGAAAGAAAUGGAAAGAGAGAUGGAGAGAUCAAACAUAACCUUUUUUUCUAACGAAUGAUAGAUGGAUGUUAUUUCUCUGGAAGGAGGAAAAGGAUUCUGUUUCAAACACAGACACAUGAAAGCUCUGGGCAGAUGAACGGACUGGCAGAGAGCGAGAGAGACCGUCUGACCCAGCUCUAGGCAGACAGACGGACUGGCAGGGUGGGAGAGAGACCGUCUGACCCAGCUCUGGGCAGACAGACGGACUGGCAGAGAGGGAGUGAGACCGUCUGACCCAGCCCAGCAGGCCUAGUGUAAGGGACGUUCAGCACUCUCGAUCUGUAGACUAAUUGGACAAUGAUUGGUCCCCAUGGCGUGGUAUUCACAGAAUGGAUAACUAGCUAAAUGGACAUCUUGGAUUCCAUACUAAUGGUUGACUGCUUUUUACUCUGUAACAGAAUCAUGUUUUUGGGUCCUGUCUCAUGUUCCACUCUGUAACAGAAUCAUGUUGUUUUGUCCUGUCUCAUGUUCCACUCUGUAACAGAAUCAUGUUGUUUUGUCCUGUCUCAUGUUCCACUCUGUAACAGAACCAUGUUGUCGGGUCCUGUCUCAUGUUCCACUCUGUAACAGAAUCAUGUUGUUGGGUCCUGUCUCAUGUCCCACUCUGUAACAGAAUCAUGUUGUCGGGUUCCACUCUGUAACAGAACCAUGUUGUCGGGUCCUGUCUCAUGUUCCACUCUGUAACAGAAUCAUGUUGUCGGGUCCUGUCUCAUGUCCCACUCUGUAACAGAAUCAUGUUGUCGGGUCCUGUCUCAUGUUCCACUCUGUAACAGAAUCAUGUUGUCGGGUCCUGUCUCAUGUCCCACUCUGUAACAGAAUCAUGUUGUUGGGUCCUGUCUCAUGUCCCACUCUGUAACAGAACCAUGCUGUUGGGUUCCACUCUGUAACAGAACCAUUUUGUCGGGUCCCACUCUGUAACAGAACCAUGCUGUUGGGUUCCACUCUGUAACAGAACCAUGUUGUCGGGUCCCACUCUGUAACAGAACCAUGUUGUUGGGUUCCACUCUGUAACAGAACCAUGUUGUCGGGUCCUGUCUCAUGUCCCACUCUGUAACAGAACCAUGCUGUUGGGUUCCACUCUGUAACAGAACCAUGCUGUUGGGUUCCACUCUGUAACAGAAUCAUGUUGUCAGGUCCGGUCUCAUGUGAAGUACAGUACAUUUUGCCCACUGUAUUUAUAAUGAACACCUCUUCACCCCAGACAUUACACAUCCCUUUGAGGAGAAUAUUUAUUUUACGUAGUUAGAUAUUGCAGAUUUUGUGCUUGUGUUGUACAGCUGUUUGAUUUGUCCCAGCCAGCUCUCCGUUCCAGCUUCCUCCUGUGAUUUAUAUAUCCACACAGCUCAAAGCUUGCGGCCCUCCCAGUUCUACUCCAUUACAUGAUUUCAUUUCUCUACGUGGGUUUUAUUUAUGAACUGCCACUAAAGCAGUUUGUGUCCUUUUUUUUCGCUAACUUUUUGAAUAUUUGAAGAGAAAGAAAUUGGCAUGUUGUCACAGGGCUUUUCAAAUCGGCCAGGGGCUGCCUGCUUCCCUUCCUACUCUGAGAUGACAUUUGUUUAAAGUAUUUUCAUAUUUAUAAUUAGUUAAUGGACCUAUUAUUAUUAUUUAUUAAGUCUACGGUAAGCAUUUAUUUUAGAGUCGCUUUGGGUUUGCCUCCCAAAUGGCCCCCUAUUCCCCAUGUAGUACACUACAUCAUGGCCCCCUAUUCCCUAUGUAGUACACUACAAGGCCCCCUAUUCCCUAUGUAGUGGACUAUCGAGCCCUGAUCAAAACAAGUAAACUAUAUGGAGAAUAGGUUGCCAUUUGGGAUGCCCCCUCCUCAAGGUAAUAUCAUUGGGAUGCCCCCUCCUCAAGGUAAUAUCAUUGGGAUGCCCCCUCCUCAAGGUAAUAUCAUUGGGAUGCCCCCUCCUCAAGGUAAUAUCAUUGGGAUGCCCCUUCCUCAAGGUAAUAUCAUUGGGAUGCCCCCUCCUCAAGGUAAUAUCAUUGGGAUGCCCCCUCCUCAAGGUAAUAUCAUUGGGAUGCCCACUCCUCAAAGUCAUAUCAUUGGGAUGCCCACUCCUCAAGGUAAUAUCAUUGGGAUGCCCCCUCCUCAAGGUAAUAUCAUUGGGAUGCCCACUCCUCAAAGUCAUAUCAUUGCGAUGCCCCUCCUCACAGUCAUAUCAUUGGGAUGCCCCCUCCUCACAGUCAUAUCAUUGGGAUGCCCCCUCCUCACAGUCAUAUCAUUGGGAUGCCCACUCCUCACAGUCAUAUCAUUGGGAUGCCCACUCCUCACAGUCAUAUCAUUGGGAUGCCCACUCCUCACAGUCAUAUCAUUGGGAUGCCCCCUCCUCACAGUCAUAUCAUUGGGAUGCCCACUCCUCACAGUCAUAUCAUUGGGAUGCCCCUCCUCACAGUCAUAUCAUUGGGAUGCCCCCUCCUCAUAGUCAUAUCAUUGGGAUGCCCCUCCUCAAGGUAAUAUCAUUGGGAUUCCCCCUCCUCAAGGUAAUAUAAUUGGGAUGCCCCCUCCUCAAGGUAAUAUCCUUGGGAUGCCCCCUCCUCAAGGUAAUAUCAUUGGGAUGCCCCCUCCUCAGAGUCAUGUCAUUGGGAUGCCCCCUCCUCAGAGUCAUGUCAUUGGGAUGCCCCCUCCUCAGAGUCAUGUCAUUGGGAUGCCCCCUCCUCAAGGUAAUAUCAGUAGGAUGCCCCCUCCUCAAGGUAAUAUCAUUGGGAUGCCCCCUCCUCAGAGUCAUGUCAUUGGGAUGCCCCCUCCUCAAGGUAAUAUCAUUGGGAUGCCCCCUCCUCAAGGUAAUAUCAUUGGGAUGCCCCCUCCUCAAGGUAAUAUCAUUGGGAUGGCCCCUCCUCACAGUAAUAUUAAUGAGCUAAUGCACUGAGCGGGGUCCUUGGGCCCAAGGAACAGACCAUAUGAUGCCUGAGUAAAAUGAUCUCAUUCUUCUACCACUAAGCAGGGAAGUAGACAAGGGAGUUUUGGGUGCUGUAAAGACCCAUACCAGACUGGUGUUGAAGGUACUGUAAAGACCCACACCAGACUGGUGUUGAAGGUGCUGUAAAGACCCAUACCAGACUGGUGUUGAAGGUGAUGUAAGGACCCAUACCAGACUGGUGUUGAAGGUACUGUAAAGACCCAUACCAGACUGGUGUUGAAGGUACUGUAAGGACCCAUACCAGACUGGUGUUGAAGGUACUGUAAGGACCCAUACCAGACUGGUGUUGAAGGUUCUGUAAGGACCCAUACCAGACUGGUGUUGAUGGUACUAUAAAGACCCAUACCAGACUGGUGUUGAAGGUACUGUAAAGACCCAUACCAGACUGGUGUUGAAGGUGCUGUAAAGACCCACACCAGACUGGUGUUGAAGGUGCUGUAAAGACCCACACCAGACUGGUGUUGAAGGUACUGUAAAGACCCACACCAGACUGGUGUUGAAGGUACUGUAAAGACCCACACCAGACUGGUGUUGAAGGUACUGUAAAGACCCAUACCAGACUGGUGUUGAAGGGUACAGGAAGGUUCUGUAAGGACCCAUACCAGACUGGUGUUGAUGGUACUAUAAAGACCCAUACCAGACUGGUGUUGAAGGUACUGUAAAGACCCAUACCAGACUGGUGUUGAAGGGUACAGGAAGGUUCUGUAAGGACCCAUACCAGACUGGUGUUGAAGGGUACAGGAAGGUUCUGUAAAGACCCACACCAGACUGGUGUUGAAGGGUAUAGGAAGGUUAUAUAAAGACCCACACCAGACUGGUGUUGAAGGGUAUAGGAAGGUUAUAUAAAGACCCACACCAGACUGGUGUUGAAGGGUAUAGGAAGGUUAUAUAAAGACCCACACCAGACUGGUGUUGAAGGUACUGUAAAGACCCACACCAGACUGGUGUUGAAGGUACUGUAAAGACCCAUACCAGACUGGUGUUGAAGGGUACAGGAAGGUUCUGUAAGGACCCAUACCAGACUGGUGUUGAUGGUACUAUAAAGACCCAUACCAGACUGGUGUUGAAGGUACUGUAAAGACCCAUACCAGACUGGUGUUGAAGGGUACAGGAAGGUUCUGUAAGGACCCAUACCAGACUGGUGUUGAAGGGUACAGGAAGGUUCUGUAAAGACCCACACCAGACUGGUGUUGAAGGGUACAGGAAGGUUCUGUAAAGACCCACACCAGACUGGUGUUGAAGGGUAUAGGAAGGUUAUAUAAAGACCCACACCAGACUGGUGUUGAAGGGUGUAGGAAGGUUCUGUUAAAAGCAUGUAAUGAUACAGAUUCUUCACGAUGUGCUCCCCUGUAAAUUCAUGUUCUGUUUCUGUUUCUGUUCCCACUGUUCUUAAAUACUGUUUGAAACUAUGAAUCAUAAAUAAAAACAUGUUUUUUUAAAAGAUGUCAAAGAUUCAAAAACCCAACUAGUAGAAAGGGUGUUUAGGUGAAUCUGCUAUUUUGGAUGUCAGAGGCCUCUUCCCUCUGUCGCGUUUCUCUUUCCUUAACUUCGGGCUGAUGACGGAGCCUGAUUGAGUUUGUCACUCACCUGUGAUUGAGUUUGUCACUCACCUGUGAUUGAGUUUGUCACUCACCUGUGAUUGAGUUUGUCACUCACCUGUGAUUGAGUUUGUCACUCACCUGUGUGAACUUUGCUAGGUCCUCCUUGUGAAUGUGGGGAUGUCGACUUGACCAUGAUUGUCCUUUUUAUCUGUUAACUACGUUACCCAUGCUGCACCACAGCCUGUUUCAAAACAUAUAAGGAAUAAUUUAGCCUGUUGAAUUUCACGGUCUUGGAAAUAUUAUAUUGUGCUAUUGGGAUGUGCUAAUAAAGAGAUAUUUUUUA